GGAAUAUUGCACAAUGGGCGAAAGCCUGAUGCAGCGACGCCGCGUGAGGGAUGACGGCCUUCGGGUUGUAAACCUCUUUCAGCAGGGACGAAGCGCAAGUGACGGUACCUGCAGAAGAAGCACCGGCUAACUACGUGCCAGCAGCCGCGGUAAUACGUAGGGUGCAAGCGUUGUCCGGAAUUACUGGGCGUAAAGAGUUCGUAGGCGGUUUGUCGCGUCGUUUGUGAAAACCAGCAGCUCAACUGCUGGCUUGCAGGCGAUACGGGCAGACUUGAGUACUGCAGGGGAGACUGGAAUUCCUGGUGUAGCGGUGAAAUGCGCAGAUAUCAGGAGGAACACCGGUGGCGAAGGCGGGUCUCUGGGCAGUAACUGACGCUGAGGAACGAAAGCGUGGGUAGCGAACAGGAUUAGAUACCCCUG
rnacentral:rRNA from 1 species